CCUACGGGGGGCAGCAGUGGGGAAUAUUGCACAAUGCGGGAAACCGUGAUGCAGCGACGCCGCGUGAGUGAAGAAGUACUUCGUUACGUAAAGCUCUUUCAGCAGGGAAGAAAAUGCCGGUACCUGAGUAAGAAUCCCUGGCUAACUACGUGCCAGCAGCCGCGGUAUUACGUAGGGGCCAAGCGUUAUCCGGAUUUACUGGGUGUAAAGGGGGCGUAGACGGCAGUGCAAGACUGGAGGGAAGGGCGAGGGCUCAACCCCUGGACUGCUCCGGAAACUAUACGGCUGGAGUGCUGGAGAGGAAAGUAGAAUUCCUAGUGUAGCGGUGAAAUGCGUAGAUAUUAGGAGGAACACCAGUAGCGAAGGCGGCUUACUGGACUGUAACUGACGUUGAGGCGCGAAAGCGUGGGGAGCAAACAGGAUUAGAUACCCGAGUAGUC
rnacentral:rRNA from 1 species